UACGAAGGGGGCUAGCGUUGUUCGGAUUUACUGGGCGUAAAGCGCACGUAGGCGGUUUGUUAAGUCAGGGGUGAAAUCCCGGAGCUCAACUCCGGAACUGCCUUUGAUACUGGCAAGCUAGAGUCCGGAAGAGGUAAGUGGAACUCCUAGUGUAGAGGUGGAAUUCGUAGAUAUUAGGAAGAACACCAGUGGCGAAGGCGGCUUACUGGUCCGGAACUGACGCUGAGGUGCGAAAGCGUGGGGAGCAAACAGG
rnacentral:rRNA from 3 species